rnacentral:rRNA from 1 species
GAUGAACGCUGGCGGCGUGCCUAAUACAUGCAAGUCGAGCGAACAGACGAGGAGCUUGCUCCUCUGACGUUAGCGGCGGACGGGUGAGUAACACGUGGAUAACCUACCUAUAAGACUGGGAUAACUUCGGGAAACCGGAGCUAAUACCGGAUAAUAUAUUGAACCGCAUGGUUCAAUAGUGAAAGACGGUUUUGCUGUCACUUAUAGAUGGAUCCGCGCCGCAUUAGCUAGUUGGUAAGGUAACGGCUUACCAAGGCAACGAUGCGUAGCCGACCUGAGAGGAUGAUCAGUAACAGUGGAACUGAGACACGGUCCAGACUCACACGGGAGGCAGAAGUGGGGAAUAUUGGACAAUGGGCGAAAGCCUGCUCCAGACAUGCCGAGUGUGUGAAGAAGGUCUUCGGAUUGUAAAGCGCCGUAAGUUGGGAGGAAGGGCAGUAAGUCAAUACAUUGCUGUUUUGACGUUACCAACAGAAUAAGCACCGGCUACCUUCGUG